AUGCUAUGAAAAAGGGUAUAAGAUGCACGUGCAUCAACCUCUCCCAGACUUCAUAGAGGGACUCUCCCUCUUUCUGUUUGAAGCUCUGGACUUUCACUCUAAGCUU